CCUGUCGAAAAGGUUGAAUAAAUCACUUAUUAUCAAACCAAAUGACCUAUAGUCAUUUGUGUGUAUAUUUAAAGCACUGUGUAGGUUCGUUUUGGAAACACGGUAUUUAAAAACGUGCGUGGCUCUUGUAGUUUUUUUCCCCCCUCGACGAAAACAUUCUGCAGCGGACAGGUUGACGUUCUCCCACCUGCCAGGAUAUCCUGGCUCCUAUACGGUGCACCUGCUUACUGGCAGGCACCAGUUUAGUGUAACAACGGUGUAAAUGACGGUGUGAAUACAGUCAGAAGACAAUAGGAGAGCGGAAGCAAUACUGUAUUUUGAUACAUGAGAAAAAAUCUUUCGAACUCCAACGGCACUUAAGUUUCAGGCAUGCUGACAAACAAACAGGGCAGAAGCUGUUGUGUUUGAUGCUUUCUGGUCUCAAUUAAGCUAUCUUCAUGUACUCUCCUGUCGUCCAUCCCAGAUGUUUAGAGAGGAGAGUGACAUCCUUUAAAUUGCAGAAUCUGUAUAAUAAUUUUAUUAAGGUUUACAUUAGGGACACAUGUAAUGGAUACAUGCCGUCCACUAGGCAAAAAGUCUUGGGGCUGCCAAAGAAAAUUAUACAAGUGAUGUUGGGAUAAAAUUAUAUUUUCUGGCGAAAUUAGUUAGCCAUUCCGAAUCCUCUCCUAAAGUCAGGCCAGUAUCUGCGGGUCCCUCUGAGGAGAGGGUUUGGCAAACGAGGAGGAACCCAAGAAUUUGCCUUGUAUUGCGAGAGGAUCCAACUGCAGGAGCUGCAGGUCUGUUCCCAGACUGGAGAUCCAGCGAGAGGCAGAGGGUCAAAAACCAGCUCUUCUGCCCACUGAUCCCUGAGACCUGAAGACAGGAAACCAGGAACCAAUGGGACUUGGGGCCAUUGAUGGACAGACUAUUCGUAGAUGAUCAAGAUGCACGGGAAGGCUCUCUGGACCAUGAAUCCAGGAAGGGGACACUACAUUACCAGAUUCAGACACUCAAAACAAGACUCAAGUCUCCAUGAAUCAUGAACCCUGAGAUGCUAUGCUGGGACCUGAAACCACCAAGGUAGUAACAUUUCUGUCAAACCGAAAAAAAAAGCAUUGAAAAAAUAGGGACUGACUGCAUCAAGCCCCAGAAAAGAGCCUCUGAUUUGAAUCAGGCUUCAAACCCUAUACUCUAAGAGCAACAACGUUGAGGUAGGGUGAUGUGUAGCUCGAUCAGCAGGUUUUUGGAUCUUUACCCAUGCCCGGAAGGUGAUAGGUUCAAAUCCCGCGGAUGGAGGAGUAAUCAAAGCAGCAUUGUUCCCUUGAAUAAAGGCCC